rnacentral:rRNA from 1 species
GAUGAACGCUGGCGGCGUGCCUAAUACAUGCAAGUCGAGCGAACGGACGAGAAGCUUGCUUCUCUGAUGUUAGCGGCGGACGGGUGAGUAACACGUGGAUAACCUACCUAUAAGACUGGGAUAACUUCGGGAAACCGGAGCUAAUACCGGAUGAUAUUUUGAACCGCAUGGUUCAAGAGUGAAAGACGGUCUUGCUGUCACUUCUAGAUGGAUCCGCGCUGCAUUAGCUAGUUGGUAAGGUAACGGCUUACCAAGGCAACGAUGCAUAGCCGACCGGAGAGGGGGAUCGGCCACACUGGAGCGGAGACACGGUCCAGACUCCUAGGGGAGGCAGCAGUAGGGAAUCGUCGGCAAGGGGCGAAAGCCUGACGGAGCGACGCCACGUGAGUGAUGAAGGUCUGCGGAUCGUAAAACUCUGUUAUUAGGGAAGAACAUUUGUGUAAGUAACUGUGCACAUCUUGACGGUACCUAAUAAGAAAGCCACGGCUAACUACGUG